UUUAUUUUAGUAUAAAAGUACAAAAAUUUUUGAAAUUUUCAGUUAUAGUUUAAACCUAUAAAAUCGGA
rnacentral:tRNA from 1 species